GACGAACGCUGGCGGCGUGCUUAACACAUGCAAGUCGAACGGGCCCGCCCCUGUUUUUGGGGGUGGGUUGAGUGGCGAACGGGUGAGUAUCACGUGAGUAACCUGCCCCCUGCUCCUGGAUAACUGCUUGAAAGGGCGGCUAAUACGGGGUGUGCCGGCUGGUCCGCAUGGGCCUGGUCGGGAUAGUUUCAUCUUCGGGUGUUUCGGUGGGGGAUGGGCUCGCGGCCUAUCAGCUUGUUGGUGGGGUGAUGGCCCACCAAGGCGGUGACGGGUAGCCGGCCUGAGAGGGUGGGCGGCCACACUGGGACUGAGACACGGCCCAGACUCCUGCGGGAGGCAGCAGUGGGGGGUAUUGCACAAUGGGCGGAAGCCUGAUGCAGCGACGUCGCGUGAGGGAUGGAGGCCUUCGGGUUGUGAACCUCUUUCUCCGGUGGUGAAGGCCCUGUCCGUUGCGGCGGGGUUGACGGUAGCCGGGUAUGAAGCGCCGGCGAACUACGU
rnacentral:rRNA from 1 species